AGUGAACGCUGGCGGUAGGCCUAACACAUGCAAGUCGAACGGCAGCACAGUAAGAGCUUGCUCUUACGGGUGGCGAGUGGCGGACGGGUGAGGAAUACAUCGGAAUCUACUUUUUCGUGGGGGAGGACGUAGGGAAACUUACGCUAAUACCGCAGAGGACCUACGGGUGGAAGCAGGGGAUCUUCGGACCUUGCGCGAGUGAAGGACGCGAUGUCGGAUUGGCUAGUUGGCGGGGUAAAGGCCCACCAAGGCGACGAUCCGUAGCUGGUCUGAGAGGAUGAUCAGCCACACUGGAACUGAGACACGGUCCAGACUCCUACGGGAGGCAGCAGUGGGGAAUAUUGGACAAUGGGCGAAAGCCUGAUCCAGCCAUACCGCGUGGGUGAAGAAGGCCUUCGGGUUGUAAAGCCCUUUUGUUGGGAAAGAAAAGCAGCAGGUUAAUACCCUGCUGUUCUGACGGUACCAACAGAAUAAGCACCGGCUAACUUCGUG
rnacentral:rRNA from 1 species